rnacentral:tRNA from 1 species
GGGACCAUUGCUCACUAGUAGGGCAUCUGCUUAGCCUGCAGAAAGCCCCAGGUUCAAACCCUGGUACCUCCU